rnacentral:lncRNA from 1 species
UGUGAACAGGGCUUGUUUUCCCUUCACGCCCUCGGGCUCCGUUUUUAUGAAGCACUUCCUUCUGUUGGCGCUUUGGGAAUAUUCAUUCUUGGCUCGCACCGCGCACGGUUGACAGUUGGGCUGGGAAAUGUACCCGCGGCUUAAUUAGGGCAUCGCCAGACCUGCCAAGCUCCAGCUCCUCCCCUUCGCGAUUGCCGCGACCCCAGGGACCCCCGGGACCCCCAGGGCAUGCCCCACGCUGUGGGAGGGCGCCUCGCUGCUCCUGAGGCUGUACCAUCAGUGCUCCACCCGUGUGCCCCGCCUCAUAGAAACCUGUCCUGGCCAAGGCAUACCUAUGACCUGUCCUACAGGCAUCCUUACCUGGAAUCCAGGAGGAGAGGCUCACCUGUAGGUUUCGUCCUGUUUUUGAGGAAGCUGAAGGUAGCAUUAACAGGAAGGCUGGCUUUCCAAGCACUGCAGAGCUGAAAAUGGACAGCAUCCAUCUACACAGCCAAGGGCAAGAUCAGGGAAAACCUCGCACCCCAAAAGCCCAGAGGAACACCACGGAAGGAGGCUGGCUAGGUUGACUUUAAAUGUCAAGCCAGAAAAUAAAUAUUGAAAAUUCAACUGCAUGUGAUAUUAAAAUAAGGUCGCAGGUGCCCUCCCUGCAGGAGCAGAGCAGGCACACGGCAGCAAGUUUGUUGAGCGAAAAAGGAACAGAGCAGAUCUCAGCACAGUGCUCUUGCUGACUCGACUGGUCCUUCCUUCCAGUUCUCAGCCUCUUGACCUCAACACGUUCCUCACUGUCCCCACAGCUUCAGUUUCCCAUACUUUGCAUGCUUGGAACAAAGUACUCCUCUCGAGUGGGCCCACCGAGCUCCUUCCUCCUGGACCCCUUCCCACUGGUCCCUGGGAUCCUGGGACACCAGCGAGGAGGGGCUGUCGCUCCUGAGCUCGCACCCAACUCUGCAGGCCCGGGUGUUAUCUCUUGCAGCAGCUGACAGUGGCGCCGGCACCACUUUGGUGUCACUUUUAACACUGCGCGUUAACACCACUGGCUGACUGUCUGCGCAAGGAGGCCCCGGCAGAGCCGCGUGCAGCCACACCCCACAUGUGGAGUUGUUAAUCCGGCAGUUGUUCAGCAGGUUCUCUGGGCCUCACCUCCAAAUGUGUUACUUCUGGAGGGAAAGACGCCCACAGAACAGCACAAGCUCUCCAGGAAGGAACGACAGAACCGGCCUGUCCUGCGUUGGCCAGGAAGAGAAGAGGAGGCAUUUCUGAGCAAGGACAUGCAAAGUUUUGGUGCCUGGAUCUCUGCCACCUACAUACAGUUCCCUAAAUUAGAAGAAUAAGAGGAAGGAGAGAACGAGGAAGAGGGAAAUAGUGUCACCAUACAACUUAAAAUCUUUUCUUAAAUCUGCAGCUUUAUCCGUGCCACAUGUUUUCGAAGAAUAUUUUAUGAUGUAAUGGGAAGAGACAAAAGCAGUGAAAAAGCAAAAUCACAGACGCGAUGUGUCUUCGAUUCUGGGAAUGUGUGGGGUGGACGUAGUCACGGUGUCCCAGGUCCACUCGCCCAUUGCAUCCAGGCACCCUGGAAGAUUUCCCUUCCUCGCCCCUUGAUAUCAGGAUGGUUGUGUGAGUUGCUUUGGCCAGUGAAAUGCGAGAGAAGUAACCUGUGUCACUUCUGGGUGAUGGUGUUCAAUUGCUGGUGCAACCCUUCCCAGCCCACUCUCCCCUGGCCUAAGCAGUCAUGGGAAUGUGUAUUCAUUCUGAAGGCCCAGAAGCUCAAAGGAGCCUCUAUCACUGAGCCACAAUAUGGGAAAGAGCACCUGAGAGUCACCCAGACUCCUGUGAUCUGGGUAUGAGCAGAAAUGAACCUCUGUGCCUUGAAACCACUGAGAUUUUGGUACGGUUUUCCCUGGACUAUGAUCUACACUGACUGAUAAAAUAAGUAUACAAAAUAGAUGGAAAAAUAUUAUCGAGAAGCAUUGCAGUGACUGGUAAUUUUUGUUUUUACACUUUACCAGAUUUCUCCCAUUUUUUACAGUCAGCAUGUUUUACUUUUAUGAUGUUUAAAUGUUCCCGGUCUUACGCAUAGCUAGCUUUUUUGAGUAAAUAAAUGUGUCCUUGGUACGGGGAAUGUAACAGGACCCACUGUGCACCUGCACUCUUCUAGACUCAGACGG